rnacentral:rRNA from 1 species
GUGGAUUAGAUACCCUGGUAGUCCACGCCCUAAACGAUGUCUACUAGUUGUCGGGUUUUAAUUAACUUGGUAACGCAGCUAACGCGUGAAGUAGACCGCCUGGGGAGUACGGUCGCAAGAUUAAAACUCAAAGGAAUUGACGGGGACCCGCACAAGCGGUGGAUGAUGUGGAUUAAUUCGAUGCAACGCGAAAAACCUUACCUACCCUUGACAUGUACGGAAGGCCGAAGAGAUUUGGCUGUGCUCGAAAGAGAACCGUAACACAGGUGCUGCACGGCCGUCGCCAACU